rnacentral:rRNA from 1 species
UUAAAGGAAUUGACGGGGCCCGCACAAGCGGAGGAACAUGUGGUUUAAUUCGAUGAUACGCGAGGAACCUUACCUGGGCUUAAAUGGGGAGUGACAGCUGUCGAAAGAUGGUUUUCUUCGGACACUCUUCAAGGUGCUGCAUGGUUGUCGUCAGCUCGUGCCGUGAGGUGUCGGGUUAAGUCCCAUAACGAGCGCAACCCUUACCGUUAGUUACCAUCAGGUUAAGCUGGGGACUCUAGCGGGACUGCACCGUAAGGUGAGAGGAAGGUGGGGAUGACGUCAAAUCAGCACGGCCCUUAUGUCCAGGGCUACACACGUGUUACAAUGGCCAGUACAAAGGGCAGCUACCGGGUGACCGGAUGCUAAUCUCUAAAGCUGGUCUCAGUUCGGAUCGAAGUCUGCAACCCGACUUCGUGAAGCUGGAUUCGCUAGUAAUCGCGCAUCAGCCAUGGCGCGGUGAAUACGUUCCCGGGCCUU